AGGGUUUGAUCAUGGCUCAGAUUGAACGCUGGUGGUAUGCUUAACACAUGCAAGUCGAACGGUAACAUUGGAGCUUGCUCCAGAUGACGAGUGGCGGACGGGUGAGUAACGCGUAGGAAUCUGCCUAGUAGUGGGGGACAACAUGUGGAAACGCAUGCUAAUACCGCAUACGCCCUACGGGGGAAAGCGGGGGAUCUUCGGACCUCGCGCUAUUAGAUGAGCCUGCGUUAGAUUAGCUUGUUGGUGGGGUAAUGGCCUACCAAGGCGACGAUCUAUAGCUGGUCUGAGAGGACGAUCAGCCACACUGGGACUGAGACACGGCCCAGACUCCUACGGGAGGCAGCAGUGGGGAAUAUUGGACAAUGGGCGCAAGCCUGAUCCAGCAAUACCACGUGUGUGAAGAAGGCCUGAGGGUUGUAAAGCACUUUCAAUUGGGAGGAAAACAGCUGGGUUAAUAGCCCUGCUCUUGACAUUACCUUUAGAAGAAGCACCGGCUAACUCCGUGCCAGCAGCCGCGGUAAUACGGAGGGUGCGAGCGUUAAUCGGAAUUACUGGGCGUAAAGCGUACGUAGGCGGUUAUUUAAGUCAGAUGUGAAAGCCCCGGGCUCAACCUGGGAACUGCAUUUGAAACUGGAUAACUAGAGUUUGAUAGAGGAGAGUAGAAUUUCUGGUGUAGCG
rnacentral:rRNA from 1 species